AGUGGCUGACCAAGAAGAAGUUCAGCCAAUACACAACCAGCAGACCACAUAUCAAUUGCAGUUGUGUAUGCUGUAGCCCCAAAUAUAAGCUCUGGUGCCCUAUAAUAUCGUGAACAAAUAUAAGAUAUGUUGGGUUCACCUGGCACCAACUUCUUUGCACUUCCAAAAUCACAUAUCUUUAGCUGGUGUGUAUGGGGAUUGACCAGUAAAUUUUGUGGCUUAAUAUCUCGAUGACAUACACCAACUACAUGAUGCAAGUAACUUAGGCCACGACAGAUCUGGUAAGCAUACAGUUGCACAUAUAAAAUAGGCAUGUGUUGGUGGUUCAUCUUGCUAUAGUGCCUAGAUAUUCGGUAGACAGUCUCAGGUAUAUACUCCAGGACAAGGUUAAGAUAUAGUUCUUCUUUCUCAGUAGUUGAAAAGAAGCAAUGCUUCAGUUCAACAACAUUAGGAUGGUCAAGUAAGCGCAUGACUUGAAGUUCUCUAUUUUUGUAUCUUCUAUCCUGCAGCACCUUCUUUAUUGCAACUGCUUCACCAG
rnacentral:misc_RNA from 1 species